GCUAAGGAAAGAGUUGCUUCAAAUGACCUCAGGAACCUCUCAUUACCAGUUUGCGAGAUAUUUUCGGAGUACCUUGCAUAGUGCAACUGUCUUCUAGAGUGUUCUACUCUCAGAUGAGCACUCGCCUUUGCAGCUAUGCAGGCAGGCUUCGUGUAAAUAAAUAAUUCUUCAUGUAAACUCUGUUUCCAGGGAGUGUUCAACGCACCUUAAGUGCGUCGGGUAGAGGUCCACCAGAACGCAAUAGACGACGCUCAGGCAAACCGAGGUGACCGACUCGUAGGCGCAGGAGAGGAUCAGGUUCUGAAUGGAGGUCUGCACCAAGAAGAGGCAGGCUGUCACGACGGCGGGCACGAACGCUGUUAUCACUGGAAUCCGAUCAAGAAAAAGUGAAGUCAAGAAAAAGCUUCCAGAAUGAGUCCGUGAUUAUUGAUCGGCGUACAGACCCCGAAGAAACGAGAGAACCGCUCGGUCAUCGAGGGAAUCGUUGAAACGACCGUGUACUCACCAAGGAAGAACUUGUAUCCCACGUAGUUGACGAGCAUCGGCAGGAUCAAGCCAGUGGGGAUGCACGAGGCUCCCAGGAUGAACGUAUGGACGAAAACGCUGGUCUGCACUCUCGAUUCGCAGCCAAACGGAUCGUCGGUCGGCACCUGCGAUUCGAUAAUUGCGGAAUUAUGAUCGGCGAUGUCGAUGGAACGAGCUCGAAUAAGGACUAGUGCAGAGAUAUCGCUGACCGAUUCCGUGACGUUUCGAGCGCUCUUCAGGGUGCACACGCUGGCAGUCUGAUUAGGGUAGGCUUCCUGGAAGUCCGCGUACCUGUGGAACAGCUCCGGCAGCCACAGGGUCAGCGUGUAAUAAGCCGACGUGACGAAACAGGCGAUCGAGCACACCACGAUCGUUCGACAAAGGAACGGCGGCUUCAAGAUCAUCACCGUCUUCAUCCAAAUGUCACCGAUCAUCGCGUUAAACGACCGCUCCUCCGUUUCUUCCUUGAGCUCCUUCAUGUGCAUGAUCCGAUGCACCAGAUCGUUUAAGUUGUUGUUGCCGCUGUUGCGCAGCUUCGUCUGCGGAAAUCAGUUUCUCACUCUGUUAUGAGAACUUUGUAAAGAACUUUGAAAAACAUCAUUUUUUAAUUUUCUUAUCAAUCAGUUGCAAUUUAAUCAACUUUUCGUAUACUCGUUUCAUAGAAAAUUAGUCGGUCUAACGUCUUAACAAUAUUCAAGUCCUCUAAAACAAUCUUAAAAGGCUUAUUCCGUUUGAAAAGGCGACUUUCCGAGGCGACUGUAUCUCUCUUUGGUAAACACGAAGGCUCGCCGUCGAUCGAUCGUUCGCAGCCACUCGAUUUUUAGUCGAAUCUCUGUUUGCCGUUGCGCGUACAACUUUACAAGCGACUACCGUUGAAUAAAGAUGAUCAUCGGUUCGUCUCUAUUCUUAUCGGAGAGAUUGCGAACUAUCGGCGGACGGUAUAUUUGCCGAAGAUAUUAUCGGUCAACGAUCAAUGUUUGACGAGCAAACCACUCACUGUGUACUCUUUAGACGGCUGCCCGCUGUUCUCCGAGUACAUCCUCAUCAAUACGUCCAGCAUCUGCACGUUCUGACCGGUCUCCGCCAAAUAUUUCGGCGUCUCCGGGAAAAACAGCAGCCAAGUGCCAGUGAACACCGCCGGCAACGAGCAAAUGAAUACGAAGAAGUUCCACGAGCGGAACACCACCCCGGCAAUCUCGACGUUUAUUUCCAACGGGAUAACGAUCCAUCCGACACCUACGAUCGAACAAAAAGCGGACACGUUAAUUCAACCGGACGCCAGUUGAAUCACCUCCGUUGUUUUCCCGAACGUUGCACGCUCGUGCGCCGAAUUUACCGGGAGUACAAUUCUUUAGAAUGGGCCAUUCUGUCUGACCAAAUGGUGGACGAUAAGAACGUCGACGAAAGUUGUAAAAAAGUCGAUAAAUCAUUCGGAAGUGGUGAAGCAGCGUGGAAAUGCACUUAUUGUGAAAAGGACGAGGACAACGAGAGAACCGGAGAUCGGAAAUGAUCGAAUGCCGCGGGUCGCGCCCGAAGUGGAUACUUUAACCGCGGUCAGCCACGGUCGAUAAGAGUUCAACCGGUGCAGAAACGGUUCUUGGAACCCGCCUGGACCAUAAAUAGUCGCUCGAACGAGGUGUUUACCUGCCAGAAUGAUCAUCCCCAUCACCCACGCCAUCUCCAUCCACGAGAGCAUCUUGUCCCGGUACUUGGUCGGCUGAAAUUCGCCAAGGUAGAGAAACACCACAGCCGACUGUCCGUUCAUCCUGCAAACAUUCGUCCUAUUAUUCGUCGUCCGCCGCGAGAGGACGAGUGUUCUCGAGCGUUACGAAUGCUGCUGUACUAACGCUGCGCCGCUCAAAAAUUUUAGAAACAGGAAGAUCCAAUAGUGCGGUACCACCGACGCCAACAGCUCCGAAACCCCGUGCAGCAGCAGAGCCACCAGCAAGGACAUCCUCCGACCUUUUAUGGCCGCGUAACAGCCCCAGAUGUAAGAUCCGCACAGCAUACCUGCGAAUUCACCCGGACGUUUCAGCAAUUGUUCGGUUUCUAAUCGGACGUAAUUAUACCAAUUAGACGCCGCGCAUCGAGUCGCCUCGGGUGAUUAUGAUUUCAUCGACAUCCUGCAACGUGGUUAUCGCAAUGAGAUUUAAAUUUCCCGAGGCGGAAGGUACGGAGUACAAAGCCAAUAAUCACCUGUCUGGUCGACUGCAUCUUCCACGACAUUUUCCGCCGUCUGCUUGGUACCUGUGAACACAUAAGAAGAUCAUCGAUCGUUAAAGAAUCGUGCGCAUUGAAGAGAAAGAAAGAGAGUGAGAGAGAAAGAGAGAGAGAGAGUGUGAGAGAGAGGGAGAGAGAGAGAGAGAGAGAGAGAGAGAGAGAGAGAGAAACACGAUGUACAGGCAGUCGUGAAAGUUCCACGGUCCCGCCUAGCUUAUAUUCCGGGAAUAAAAACGUCCCACGCGGCGCCAGUAAAUGACUAAACACGUCGGGGCCGGGGGACUCGUCGACUUCUCGUGGCGAGACUUGCUGCCGACAAAGCGGCGUCGACGUGUCCGCGGCUUCUCAUUCCAAUAAAUCGCUUUGCUUGCCGCCCAGUCCCCUGGGGAACACCUCCGCGAUCGCGUCUCUUUGUUUCGAGCACGCCGGCAAACACCGCUUUUCUCUCCUAGCGAAAUUGCUUCUCCCGCGUGGAACGGUUUUGUCAACGACUUAAUUUAUUUGUUAACCCCUUGCCCUACGAUUUCCCUCGCGACUACGUCGAUCGGGCGCUUCUUCGUCGCCGAUGAACUCCUACGAGAGAAAGAGAAUAUCUUUUGUACGUCCACGGGAACGCCGAUGGCCGAAUAUCAAGGAUAUCGUAGCGCAAGGGGUCGAGCUCUCCGUAAGAAAUAUGUUCCUCGAUCAGAUUGUAUCCGACACGAACGCUGUAACCGGAGGGUACACCGUUCGGACGAGCGUGUAACGACGUUUAAUCGACGCGGCCGACGGCUUUUUCGUCGCGAAAAUAAUAACGCGCGUCCCGAGCCUGUGUAUCGUCGUUCCGACGGGUUCCGCAGGGUCGUUCUAACAGCGCGGCGUUAGAAAGAACGUUCUCCGGCACGCAGAAAUCGAUUCUCAAGGCUCGCUCGCCGGCCGCCGUGCAAUCGAUGUCUUCGUUCGAACAGGUGUGCCCGACAGGGAAACACCUUCGGUAACAGCGCGUUCACGGAAGCGAAGUCGUUUCGUGGAAACAAUAAAACUCGUUUUCCAUGCGUGUUAGGCCUUUGUCUCGGAAGGCGGCGAGAAUGUUUACGCCGAGAAGCGGCCGAUCAAUUAUGCAUCGUGCGAAUGCGGCAACAUAAAGAGCGCGGCGGAACGGAACACUUUUUGUCGGAUGUAAAGAGAACAUCCUGGGAAAACUCUGUCGACGUCUCCGAACGGAUAUCGUAGGUGUUCGAGGGUCCGGGGGUUCGCUGAAAUUUUGAAUCGGGAUCACGGUGUCCGUGCCGUAAAGCCACGGCCCGCUUCGAAAGGGAUACAGACGACCGUUGAGCGAGACCGCCUAUGGAAAAAUACUGCGGCCCGAUCGCCUCUGCAUCGCCUCUGCAUCGCCU